rnacentral:tRNA from 1 species
CGGAAGUGUGGCCGAGUGGUUUAAGGCUCUGGUCUUGAAAACCAGCGAGGGGGAGACCCCUCCGUGGGUUCGAAUCCCACCGCUUCCGCCA